rnacentral:rRNA from 1 species
UACAGAGGGUGCAAGCGUUAAUCGGAUUUACUGGGCGUAAAGCGUGCGUAGGUGGUGAUGUAAGUCGGAUGUGAAAGCCCUGGGCUUAACCUGGGAACUGCAUUCGAUACUGCAUUACUAGAGUUCGGUAGAGGGCGGCGGAAUUCCGGGUGUAGCGGUGAAAUGCGUAGAUAUCCGGAGGAACACCGAUGGCGAAGGCAACCGCCUGGGCCUGAACUGACACUGAGGCACGAAAGCGUGGGGAGCGAACAAG